AUUCAGCUGACGAGUCCCAAAUAGGUCGAAACGCUCGUUGUGGAU
rfam:Schistosoma curassoni strain Dakar, Senegal genome assembly, scaffold: SCTD_scaffold0001145